UUCCUGUUCCUGAUUCUCAUGAGAGGUUUACAUUUCGGGGGCAGACUGUGUAAUUUUGCAGUGAACAGUGGAUUUUGUUGCUUUCACUCACACACUUGUGAGACUGUUGCCUCAUUAACACUUGUUUUGAGAUUUCCUUUUCCCCUCUGAUAUUUUGCUAGAGAAUUGACUGCACUCGUGACAACAGUGGUGGUAGUAGUGACAGCUGCAGUGAUAGUAGUGACUGCAGUAAAGUAGUGACAGUAGUAUUAGAGGGAAUGACAGUGGUAGUAAUAGUAGUGACAGCAGAAUUGGUGGUAGUUUCAGUGGUAGUGACUGCACUAAAAUAGUGACAGUAGUGGUACAAGUAGUGACAGUAGUAGUGGUAGUAAUGACAGUGGUAUUGACAGCAGUAGUGACAACAAUACUUACUGCAGUAGCGGCUGCAGUAGUGACUGCAGUACAGUUGUAGUGCAGUAGUAGUAGUAAUGACAUUAGUAGUGAUUGCAGUAGUGCUGUCAAACUUUCAUCAUAAAAAAAAUUCAAAGAUACUGCAGGUCUUGAUCUACAAUAAAUGUUUGCAAGGAUGAUGUAUGUGCAGCCGGCCUUUUGUGUGCACUAAAGAAUCCAGGAGGAUCACACAAAAAAUCAUCAGUGCUAUUAAUGAUUUCAGAACUGAUAUAUUUUAUCAAGCUUUUUAUUUUCCUUUUUUUGACAUGUUUUUUUAUUUGCAUUGACAGAAGAGACUUCUAAAGAGAUGGAUGAGCUUUUAAAACAACUGCGUAAGUACUCUGUCUGUGUGUGUCUUUGUGUUUUAACAGUAAUGUUUCUACCAAUGAAAGUACUGAUGUUUAGACAGACAGAUGCUACAGUAGUGUCUUUUGGACUCAUAUGUGCAGGUCUGCUUCUACAACACCGAAAGCUGUGACAAUAACAUAACCCAAGCAGUCUAGCAUUCAAACUGCAUGUACAUUAAACAAGAAUCUCAGUUUUAAUUAAUAUUAAAAUCCAUCCAACACAUGCUUUCCUUUAUUUUGCCUGCAGGCCGGCUUGCUGUGGAGCUGGGUGAGUAGCCUAUGUGUGCUGUUCUACCCUAAAAUUUCUACUGAACUUCAUUUACAUGACUCCUGAAAGAGCAGACUCACUGGACAGAGUGCAGUCAGUGCUGGAAGGGAGCAAUGUUAGCCACAGCUCCACCUUGUCAGCCUUAUUACCAGCUCACAAGUCAGAAAAUUAUUAAAAUAAGCAGAUGUUGGUGUUUUGGGAUGAUUAUAUGCAUACAAUUAAAAUGAUCUAAAAUUACCAUGUAAGUGGUAUGAUGAGCAGAGUCAACAUCUGUAAAUAAUCAAAACAAGAUCAGAUCCACACCAGAGAUUCCUCUGCUGAGUGAAAAAUUAAUCA
rnacentral:lncRNA from 1 species